rnacentral:lncRNA from 1 species
AUGAUGGAGGACACUUUCCUGUCAGAGAAAGAAAAGCUUGAAAGAAAAAAGAAAGACUUAGAAAAACAGCAAGAGGAAAUAAUGACUUACAAAAACGUGAUAGACAAAGACCAGAAAGAGUUAGAGCAAAAGACGUCAGAUCUCUCCAAGCAAGUCAAGGAAUUUGAGCUCCACAAAGAACGGGUCCAAGAUCAAAUCAACCAAACUGAGAUUGUUAAUGUGGAUUUACAAAAACAGAGACAUGAAAUUCAGAACAUGAAAGAAGUCCAUCAGAAAGAAAAGAUUGAUUUAAAUCAAAUGAAAGUUGAGCUAAAACAACAAGAGAAGGACUUGGAAACAUCCAAAGAGGAUCUACAAAAGCAGAGGGAUGACAUCAAGAACAUGCAAUACAGCAAUCAAAAAGAGAAAGAUCACCUGGCUCAGAAGAAGGAUGAGGUUGAUCAACAAAAGAAAAUGGUGGAUGAUUUGAUUAAAAGGUACAUAGAGGAGAAAGAUCAGCUGGAACUGUCUAAAUCAGAAAUUGCUGAGGAAAAAUCAAAGCAUAAGAAAAUGAUGGAGGACACUUUCCUGUCAGAGAAAGAAGAGCUUGAAAGAAAAAAGAAAGAGUUAGAAAAACAGCAAGAGGAAAUAAUGGCUUUCAAAAACUUGAUGGACCAAGACAAGAAAGAGUUAGAGCAAAAGAGGUCAGAUCUCUCUAAGCAAGUCAAGGAAUUUGAGCUCCACAAAGAACGGGUCCAAGAUCAAAUCGACCAAACUGAGAUUGUUAAUGUGGAUUUACAAAAACAGAGACAUGAACUUCAGAACAUGAAAGACAUCCUUCAGAAAGAAAAGGAUGAUUUAAAUCAAAUGAAAGUUGAGCUAAAACAACAAGAGAAUGACUUGGAAACUUCCAAAGAUGAUCUACAAAUGCAGAGGGAUGACAUGAAGAACAUGCAUUACAACCUUCAAAAAGAGAAAGAUCACUUGGCUCAGGAGAAGGAUGAGGUCGAUCAACAAAACAAAAUGGUGGAUGAUUUGAUUGAAAGGUACAAUAAGGAGAAAGAUCAGCUGGAACUGUCUAAAUCAAAAAUUGCUGAGGAAAAAUCAAAAGUUGAGAAGAUGAUGGAGGACACUUUCCUCUCAGAGAAAGAAGAGCUUGAAAGAAAAAAGAAAGACUUAGAGAAACAGCAAAAGGAAAUAAUGACUUGCAAAAACUUGAUGGACAAAGACAAGAAAGAGUUAGAAAAACAGAGAUCAGAUCUCUCCAAACAACUGGAUGAAAUUGAACUCAACAAGAAUUGGGUCCAACAACUAGAGAAAUCCAAAAUGGAUCUUCAAAAACAGAGAAAUGAAGCAGACAACAUACAAUACAGCAUUCAGAAAGAGAAGAUCCACCUGACUCAGAAGAAGGCGGAAAUAGAUGAAAAACAGAAACAGGUUGAUGAUUUGAUUAAAAUGUACAAGAAAGAGAAAGAUCAGCUGGAACUGUCUAGAUCAGAAAUUGCUGAGGAAAAAUCAAAGCAUCAGAAAAUGAUGGAGGACACUUUCCUAUCAGAGAAAGAAGAGCUUGAAAGAAAAAAGAAAGACUUAGAAAAACAGCAAGAGGAAAUAAUGGCUUACAAAAACGUGAUUGACAAAGACAAGAAAGAGUUAGAGCAAAAGAGGUCAGAUUUCUCCAAGCAAGUCAAGGAAUUUGAGCUCCACAAAGAACGGGUCCAAGAUCAAAUUGACCAAACUGAGAUUGUUAAUGUGGAUUUACAAAAACAGAGACAUGAACUUCAGAACAUGAAAGACAUCCUUCAGAAAGAAAAGGAUGAUUUAAAUCAAAUGAAAGUUGAGCUAAAACAACAAGAGAAUGACUUGGAAACAUCCAAAGAUGAUCUACAAAAGCAGAGGGAUGACAUCAAGAACAUGCAAUACAGCAAUCAAAAAGAGAAAGAUCACCUGGCUCAGAAGAAGGAUGAGGUUGAUCAACAAAAGAAAAUGGUGGAUGAUUUGAUUAAAAGGUACAUAGAGGAGAAAGAUCAGCUGGAACUGUCUAAAUCAGAAAUUGCUGAGGAAAAAUCAAAGCAUAAGAAAAUGAUGGAGGACACUUUCCUGUCAGAGAAAGAAGAGCUUGAAAGAAAAAAGAAAGAGUUAGAAAAACAGCAAGAGGAAAUAAUGGCUUUCAAAAACUUGAUGGACCAAGACAAGAAAGAGUUAGAGCAAAAGAGGUCAGAUCUCUCUAAGCAAGUCAAGGAAUUUGAGCUCCACAAAGAACGGGUCCAAGAUCAAAUCGACCAAACUGAGAUUGUUAAUGUGGAUUUACAAAAACAGAGACAUGAACUUCAGAACAUGAAAGACAUCCUUCAGAAAGAAAAGGAUGAUUUAAAUCAAAUGAAAGUUGAGCUAAAACAACAAGAGAAUGACUUGGAAACUUCCAAAGAUGAUCUACAAAUGCAGAGGGAUGACAUGAAGAACAUGCAUUACAACCUUCAAAAAGAGAAAGAUCACUUGGCUCAGGAGAAGGAUGAGGUCGAUCAACAAAACAAAAUGGUGGAUGAUUUGAUUGAAAGGUACAAUAAAGAGAAAGAUCAGCUGGAACUGUCUAAAUCAAAAAUUGCUGAGGAAAAAUCAAAAGUUGAGAAGAUGAUGGAGGACACUUUCCUCUCAGAGAAAGAAGAGCUUGAAAGAAAAAAGAAAGACUUAGAGAAACAGCAAAAGGAAAUAAUGACUUGCAAAAACUUGAUGGACAAAGACAAGAAAGAGUUAGAAAAACAGAGAUCAGAUCUCUCCAAACAACUGGAUGAAAUUGAACUCAACAAGAAUUGGGUCCAACAACUAGAGAAAUCCAAAAUGGAUCUUCAAAAACAGAGAAAUGAAGCAGACAACAUACAAUACAGCAUUCAGAAAGAGAAGAUCCACCUGACUCAGAAGAAGGCGGAAAUAGAUGAAAAACAGAAACAGGUUGAUGAUUUGAUUAAAAUGUACAAGAAAGAGAAAGAUCAGCUGGAACUGUCUAGAUCAGAAAUUGCUGAGGAAAAAUCAAAGCAUCAGAAAAUGAUGGAGGACACUUUCCUAUCAGAGAAAGAAGAGCUUGAAAGAAAAAAGAAAGACUUAGAAAAACAGCAAGAGGAAAUAAUGGCUUACAAAAACGUGAUUGACAAAGACAAGAAAGAGUUAGAGCAAAAGAGGUCAGAUCUCUCUAAGCAAGUCAAGGAAUUUGAGCUCCACAAAGAACGGGUCCAAGAUCAAAUCAACCAAAAUGAGAUUGUUAAUGUGGAUUUACAAAAACAGAGACAUGAAAUUCAGAACAUGAAAGACAUCCUUCAGAAAGAAAAGGAUGAUUUAAAUAAAAUGAAUGUUGAGCUAAAACAACAAGAGAAGGACUUGGAAACAUCCAAAGAUGAUCUACAAAAGCAGAGGGAUGACAUGAAGAACAUGCAUUACAACCUUCAAAAAGAGAAAGAUCACCUGGCUCAGAAGAAGGAUGAGGUUGAUCAACAAAAGAAAAUGGUGGAUGAUUUGAUUGAAAGGUACAAUAAAGAGAAAGAUCAGCUGGAACUGUCUAAAUCAAAAAUUGCUGAGGAAAAAUCAAAAGUAGAAAAAAUGAUGGAGGACACUUUCCUGUCAGAGAAAGAAGAGCUUGAAAGAAAAAAGAAAGACUUAGAAAAGCAGCAAAAGGAAAUAAUGACUUACAAAAACGUGAUUGACAAAGACAAGAAAGAGUUAGAGCAAAAGAGGUCAGAUUUCUCCAAGCAAGUCAAGGAAUUUGAGCUCCACAAAGAACGGGUCCAAGAUCAAAUCAACCAAAAUGAGAUUGUUAAUGUGGAUUUACAAAAACAGAGACAUGAAAUUCAGAACAUGAAAGACAUCCUUCAGAAAGAAAAGGAUGAUUUAAAUAAAAUGAAAGUUGAGCAAAAACAACAAAAGAAUGACUUGGAAACAUCCAAAGAUGAUCUACAAAAGCAGAGGGAUGACAUCAAGAACAUGCAAUACAGCAAUCAAAAAGAGAAAGAUCACCUGGCUCAGAAGAAGGAUGAGGUUGAUCAACAAAAGAAAAUGGUGGAUGAUUUGAUUAAAAGGUACAUAGAGGAGAAAGAUCAGCUGGAACUGUCUAAAUCAGAAAUUGCUGAGGAAAAAUCAAAGCAUAAGAAAAUGAUAGAGGACACUUUCCUGUCAGAGAAAGAAGAGCUUGAAAGAAAAAAGAAAGACUUAGAAAAACAGCAAGAGGAAAUAAUGGCUUUCAAAAACUUGAUGGACCAAGACAAGAAAGAGUUAGAGCAAAAGAGGUCAGAUCUCUCUAAGCAAGUCAAGGAAUUUGAGCUCCACAAAGAACGGGUCCAAGAUCAAAUUGACCAAACUGAGAUUGUUAAUGUGGAAUUACAAAAACAGAGACAUGAACUUCAGAACAUGAAAGACAUCCUUCAGAAAGAAAAGGAUGAUUUAAAUCAAAUGAAAGUUGAGCUAAAACAACAAGAGAAUGACUUGGAAACAUCCAAAGAUGAUCUACAAAAGCAGAGGGAUGACAUGAAGAACAUGCAAUACAACCUUCAAAAAGAGAAAGAUCACUUGGCUCAGGAGAAGGAUGAGGUCGAUCAACAAAAGAAAAUGGUGGAUGAUUUGAUUGAAAGGUACAAUAAAGAGAAAGAUCAGCUGGAACUGUCUAAAUCAAAAAUUGCUGAGGAAAAAUCAAACGUUGAAAAGAUGAUGGAGGACACUUUCCUCUCAGAGAAAGAAGAGCUUGAAAGAAAAAAGAAAGACUUAGAGAAACAGCAAAAGGAAAUAAUGACUUGCAAAAACUUGAUGGACCAAGACAAGAAAGAGUUAGAGCAAAAGAGGUCAGAUCUCUCUAAGCAAGUCAAGGAAUUUGAGCUCCACAAAGAACGGGUCCAAGAUCAAAUCAACCAAAAUGAGAUUGUUAAUUUGGAUUUACAAAAACAGAGACAUGAAAUUCAGAACAUGAAAGACAUCCUUCAGAAAGAAAAGGAUGAUUUAAAUAAAAUGAAAGUUGAGCAAAAACAACAAGAGAAUGACUUGGAAACAUCCAAAGAGGAUCUACAAAAGCAGAGGGAUGACAUCAAGAACAUGCAAUACAGCAAUCAAAAAGAGAAAGAUCACCUGGCUCAGAAGAAGGAUGAGGUUGAUCAACAAAAGAAAAUGGUGGAUGAUUUGAUUAAAAGGUACAUAGAGGAGAAAGAUCAGCUGGAACUGUCUAAAUCAGAAAUUGCUGAGGAAAAAUCAAAGCAUAAGAAAAUGAUGGAGGACACUUUCCUGUCAGAGAAAGAAGAGCUUGAAAGAAAAAAGAAAGAGUUAGAAAAACAGCAAGAGGAAAUAAUGGCUUUCAAAAACUUGAUGGACCAAGACAAGAAAGAGUUAGAGCAAAAGAGGUCAGAUCUCUCUAAGCAAGUCAAGGAAUUUGAGCUCCACGAAGAACGGGUCCAAGAUCAAAUCGACCAAACUGAGAUUGUUAAUGUGGAUUUACAAAAACAGAGACAUGAACUUCAGAACAUGAAAGACAUCCUUCAGAAAGAAAAGGAUGAUUUAAAUCAAAUGAAAGUUGAGCUAAAACAACAAGAGAAUGACUUGGAAACUUCCAAAGAUGAUCUACAAAUGCAGAGGGAUGACAUGAAGAACAUGCAAUACAACCUUCAAAAAGAGAAAGAUCACCUGGCUCAGAAGAAGGAUGAGGUUGAUCAACAAAACAAAAUGGUGGAUGAUUUGAUUGAAAGGUACGAUAAAGAGAAAGAUCAGCUGGAACUGUCUAAAUCAAAAAUUGCUGAGGAAAAAUCAAAAGUUGAAAAGAUGAUGGAGGACACUUUCCUCUCAGAGAAAGAAGAGCUUGAAAGAAAAAAGAAAGACUUAGAGAAACAGCAAAAGGAAAUAAUGACUUGCAAAAACUUGAUGGACAAAGACAAGAAAGAGUUAGAAAAACAGAGAUCAGAUCUCUCCAAACAACUGGAUGAAAUUGAACUCAACAAGAAUUGGGUCCAACAACUAGAGAAAUCCAAAAUGGAUCUUCAAAAACAGAGAAAUGAAGCAGACAACAUACAAUACAGCAUUCAGAAAGAGAAGAUCCACCUGACUCAGAAGAAGGCGGAAAUAGAUGAAAAACAGAAACAGGUUGAUGAUUUGAUUAAAAUGUACAAGAAAGAGAAAGAUCAGCUGGAACUGUCUAGAUCAGAAAUUGCUGAGGAAAAAUCAAAGCAUCAGAAAAUGAUGGAGGACACUUUCCUAUCAGAGAAAGAAGAGCUUGAAAGAAAAAAGAAAGACUUAGAAAAACAGCAAGAGGAAAUAAUGGCUUACAAAAACGUGAUUGACAAAGACAAGAAAGAGUUAGAGCAAAAGAGGUCAGAUUUCUCUAAGCAAGUCAAGGAAUUUGAGCUCCACAAAGAACGGGUCCAAGAUCAAAUCAACCAAAAUGAGAUUGUUAAUGUGGAUUUACAAAAACAGAGACAUGAAAUUCAGAACAUGAAAGACAUCCUUCAGAAAGAAAAGGAUGAUUUAAAUAAAAUGAAAGUUGAGCUAAAACAACAAGAGAAUGACUUGGAAACAUCCAAAGAUGAUCUACAAAAGCAGAGGGAUGACAUCAAGAACAUGCAAUACAGCAAUCAAAAAGAGAAAGAUCACCUGGCUCAGAAGAAGGAUGAGGUUGAUCAACAAAAGAAAAUGGUGGAUGAUUUGAUUAAAAGGUACAUAGAGGAGAAAGAUCAGCUGGAACUGUCUAAAUCAGAAAUUGCUGAGGAAAAAUCAAAGCAUAAGAAAAUGAUGGAGGACACUUUCCUGUCAGAGAAAGAAGAGCUUGAAAGAAAAAAGAAAGAGUUAGAAAAACAGCAAGAGGAAAUAAUGGCUUUCAAAAACUUGAUGGACCAAGACAAGAAAGAGUUAGAGCAAAAGAGGUCAGAUCUCUCUAAGCAAGUCAAGGAAUUUGAGCUCCACAAAGAACGGGUCCAAGAUCAAAUCGACCAAACUGAGAUUGUUAAUGUGGAUUUACAAAAACAGAGACAUGAACUUCAGAACAUGAAAGACAUCCUUCAGAAAGAAAAGGAUGAUUUAAAUCAAAUGAAAGUUGAGCUAAAACAACAAGAGAAUGACUUGGAAACUUCCAAAGAUGAUCUACAAAUGCAGAGGGAUGACAUGAAGAACAUGCAAUACAACCUUCAAAAAGAGAAAGAUCACCUGGCUCAGAAGAAGGAUGAGGUUGAUCAACAAAACAAAAUGGUGGAUGAUUUGAUUGAAAGGUACAAUAAAGAGAAAGAUCAGCUGGAACUGUCUAAAUCAAAAAUUGCUGAGGAAAAAUCAAAAGUUGAAAAGAUGAUGGAGGACACUUUCCUCUCAGAGAAAGAAGAGCUUGAAAGAAAAAAGAAAGACUUAGAGAAACAGCAAAAGGAAAUAAUGACUUGCAAAAACUUGAUGGACAAAGACAAGAAAGAGUUAGAAAAACAGAGAUCAGAUCUCUCCAAACAACUGGAUGAAAUUGAACUCAACAAGAAUUGGGUCCAACAACUAGAGAAAUCCAAAAUGGAUCUUCAAAAACAGAGAAAUGAAGCAGACAACAUACAAUACAGCAUUCAGAAAGAGAAGAUCCACCUGACUCAGAAGAAGGCGGAAAUAGAUGAAAAACAGAAACAGGUUGAUGAUUUGAUUAAAAUGUACAAGAAAGAGAAAGAUCAGCUGGAACUGUCUAGAUCAGAAAUUGCUGAGGAAAAAUCAAAGCAUCAGAAAAUGAUGGAGGACACUUUCCUAUCAGAGAAAGAAGAGCUUGAAAGAAAAAAGAAAGACUUAGAAAAACAGCAAGAGGAAAUAAUGGCUUACAAAAACGUGAUUGACAAAGACAAGAAAGAGUUAGAGCAAAAGAGGUCAGAUCUCUCUAAGCAAGUCAAGGAAUUUGAGCUCCACAAAGAACGGGUCCAAGAUCAAAUCAACCAAAAUGAGAUUGUUAAUGUGGAUUUACAAAAACAGAGACAUGAAAUUCAGAACAUGAAAGACAUCCUUCAGAAAGAAAAGGAUGAUUUAAAUAAAAUGAAUGUUGAGCUAAAACAACAAGAGAAGGACUUGGAAACAUCCAAAGAUGAUCUACAAAAGCAGAGGGAUGACAUGAAGAACAUGCAUUACAACCUUCAAAAAGAGAAAGAUCACCUGGCUCAGAAGAAGGAUGAGGUUGAUCAACAAAAGAAAAUGGUGGAUGAUUUGAUUGAAAGGUACAAUAAAGAGAAAGAUCAGCUGGAACUGUCUAAAUCAAAAAUUGCUGAGGAAAAAUCAAAAGUAGAAAAAAUGAUGGAGGACACUUUCCUGUCAGAGAAAGAAGAGCUUGAAAGAAAAAAGAAAGACUUAGAAAAGCAGCAAAAGGAAAUAAUGACUUACAAAAACGUGAUUGACAAAGACAAGAAAGAGUUAGAGCAAAAGAGGUCAGAUUUCUCCAAGCAAGUCAAGGAAUUUGAGCUCCACAAAGAACGGGUCCAAGAUCAAAUUGACCAAACUGAGAUUGUUAAUGUGGAUUUACAAAAACAGAGACAUGAACUUCAGAACAUGAAAGACAUCCUUCAGAAAGAAAAGGAUGAUUUAAAUCAAAUGAAAGUUGAGCUAAAACAACAAGAGAAUGACUUGGAAACAUCCAAAGAUGAUCUACAAAUGCAGAGGGAUGACAUGAAGAACAUGCAAUACAACCUUCAAAAAGAGAAAGAUCACCUGGCUCAGAAGAAGGAUGAGGUUGAUCAACAAAAGAAAAUGGUGGAUGAUUUGAUUAAAAGGUACAUAGAGGAGAAAGAUCAGCUGGAACUGUCUAAAUCAGAAAUUGCUGAGGAAAAAUCAAAGCAUAAGAAAAUGAUGGAGGACACUUUCCUGUCAGAGAAAGAAGAGCUUGAAAGAAAAAAGAAAGAGUUAGAAAAACAGCAAGAGGAAAUAAUGGCUUUCAAAAACUUGAUGGACCAAGACAAGAAAGAGUUAGAGCAAAAGAGGUCAGAUCUCUCUAAGCAAGUCAAGGAAUUUGAGCUCCACAAAGAACGGGUCCAAGAUCAAAUCGACCAAACUGAGAUUGUUAAUGUGGAUUUACAAAAACAGAGACAUGAACUUCAGAACAUGAAAGACAUCCUUCAGAAAGAAAAGGAUGAUUUAAAUCAAAUGAAAGUUGAGCUAAAACAACAAGAGAAUGACUUGGAAACUUCCAAAGAUGAUCUACAAAUGCAGAGGGAUGACAUGAAGAACAUGCAAUACAACCUUCAAAAAGAGAAAGAUCACCUGGCUCAGAAGAAGGAUGAGGUUGAUCAACAAAACAAAAUGGUGGAUGAUUUGAUUGAAAGGUACAAUAAAGAGAAAGAUCAGCUGGAACUGUCUAAAUCAAAAAUUGCUGAGGAAAAAUCAAAAGUUGAGAAGAUGAUGGAGGACACUUUCCUCUCAGAGAAAGAAGAGCUUGAAAGAAAAAAGAAAGACUUAGAGAAACAGCAAAAGGAAAUAAUGACUUGCAAAAACUUGAUGGACAAAGACAAGAAAGAGUUAGAAAAACAGAGAUCAGAUCUCUCCAAACAACUGGAUGAAAUUGAACUCAACAAGAAUUGGGUCCAACAACUAGAGAAAUCCAAAAUGGAUCUUCAAAAACAGAGAAAUGAAGCAGACAACAUACAAUACAGCAUUCAGAAAGAGAAGAUCCACCUGACUCAGAAGAAGGCGGAAAUAGAUGAAAAACAGAAACAGGUUGAUGAUUUGAUUAAAAUGUACAAGAAAGAGAAAGAUCAGCUGGAACUGUCUAGAUCAGAAAUUGCUGAGGAAAAAUCAAAGCAUCAGAAAAUGAUGGAGGACACUUUCCUAUCAGAGAAAGAAGAGCUUGAAAGAAAAAAGAAAGACUUAGAAAAACAGCAAGAGGAAAUAAUGGCUUACAAAAACGUGAUUGACAAAGACAAGAAAGAGUUAGAGCAAAAGAGGUCAGAUCUCUCUAAGCAAGUCAAGGAAUUUGAGCUCCACAAAGAACGGGUCCAAGAUCAAAUCAACCAAAAUGAGAUUGUUCAUGUGGAUUUACAAAAACAGAGACAUGAAAUUCAGAACAUGAAAGACAUCCUUCAGAAAGAAAAGGAUGAUUUAAAUAAAAUGAAUGUUGAGCUAAAACAACAAGAGAAGGACUUGGAAACAUCCAAAGAUGAUCUACAAAAGCAGAGGGAUGACAUGAAGAACAUGCAUUACAACCUUCAAAAAGAGAAAGAUCACCUGGCUCAGAAGAAGGAUGAGGUUGAUCAACAAAAGAAAAUGGUGGAUGAUUUGAUUGAAAGGUACAAUAAAGAGAAAGAUCAGCUGGAACUGUCUAAAUCAAAAAUUGCUGAGGAAAAAUCAAAAGUAGAAAAAAUGAUGGAGGACACUUUCCUGUCAGAGAAAGAAGAGCUUGAAAGAAAAAAGAAAGACUUAGAAAAGCAGCAAAAGGAAAUAAUGACUUACAAAAACGUGAUUGACAAAGACAAGAAAGAGUUAGAGCAAAAGAGGUCAGAUCUCUCUAAGCAAGUCAAGGAAUUUGAGCUCCACAAAGAACGGGUCCAAGAUCAAAUCAACCAAAAUGAGAUUGUUAAUGUGGAUUUACAAAAACAGAGACAUGAAAUUCAGAACAUGAAAGACAUCCUUCAGAAAGAAAAGGAUGAUUUAAAUAAAAUGAAAGUUGAGCUAAAACAACAAGAGAAUGACUUGGAAACAUCCAAAGAAGAUCUACAAAAGCAGAGGGAUGACAUCAAGAACAUGCAAUACAGCAUUCAAAAAGAGAAAGAUCACCUGGCUCAGAAGAAGGAUGAGGUUGAUCAACAAAAGAAAAUGGUGGAUGAUUUGAUUAAAGGUACAAUAGAGGAGAAAGAUCAGCUGGAACUGUCUAAAUCAGAAAUUGCUGAGGAAAAAUCAAAGCAUAAGAAAAUGAUGGAGGACACUUUCCUGUCAGAGAAAGAAGAGCUUGAAAGAAAAAAGAAAGACUUAGAAAAACAGCAAGAGGAAAUAAUGGCUUUCAAAAACUUGAUGGACCAAGACAAGAAAGAGUUAGAGCAAAAGAGGUCAGAUCUCUCUAAGCAAGUCAAGGAAUUUGAGCUCCACAAAGAACGGGUCCAAGAUCAAAUUGACCAAACUGAGAUUGUUAAUGUGGAUUUACAAAAACAGAGACAUGAACUUCAGAACAUGAAAGACAUCCUUCAGAAAGAAAAGGAUGAUUUAAAUCAAAUGAAAGUUGAGCUAAAACAACAAGAGAAUGACUUGGAAACAUCCAAAGAUGAUCUACAAAUGCAGAGGGAUGACAUGAAGAACAUGCAAUACAACCUUCAAAAAGAGAAAGAUCACCUGGCUCAGAGAAGGAUGAGGUCGAUCAACAAAAGAAAAUGGUGGAUGAUUUGA